CUUCAAGUUACUUUUAGCGUGUUUACAGGGAUUUUCUCUGCUAUGUAUCUAUUUCUAAGUCUACAAAGGCUUACCUUUGUUGGCCUAUUGCACUUUAUUUAUUGUAACUCAGUUAUUAAUAAUACUAAUUAUUAUUCAAUUGUGACAGGAGGCAAUUUUAUGGGUUUUAUAUAGUAAUCUUUGACAAGUCUAUCCCUAAAGAAAAAAAAAGUGCAUAACUUGUAUUCUUGAGCUUUUUAAUGGUGUUUAAUUUAAAAUAAUGUGUAUAAUCAAUUUUCUAAUAGUAUUAUCGCAACACUGUACAAGAGACAUUAUUCCUCCUUUUAGUUGGCAGUCAUGUUAGACCCAUACAUUUGGUAUCAUAUUUUUAUAUGCAAUUGGUUUUCUCUUAUUUAUAUAAAAUAAUACAAAGUACAACAUAGGUCAAUUUUUAUUAAAUAUGAUAUUAACCAAAGUAAAACAGUGCUUUUUAUCCUCCUGGUAAAAUAGCUGCUUACUGGUAGAUAAGAGGAACAGUACAUAAAGCAGGGUUUGGACACCCCUGACAUAAAGGAUCCACCAAUUUUUAUUGUAUAAUUUUCCUAAUGUUUAAAAAAAACAAAAUGGCAUGUGAUUAAACUUCCAAUAAGCUUAAACAAUACCACACAAUCUUACCCAUCUGUUUUAAAACUCACUAAAACUAUUCUCCAGUCCUGAUAAUUGUAGUUGAUUCUAUAUUUUAAUCUGCUAAUGUGUGGGUGUGUAUGUAUGUAUGUGUGUGUGUGUGUAUAUGUAUAUAUAUAUAUAUAUAAUCAUUUUGGCCCAAUGCUUAGCUAUGUACUGUGAAUUCAUCUUUUUUUUUUUUGACUGUCAAAGAAUGAUAUAGGAGGUGUGAGGUUGAAGAUUUCAAGAGGAAACAGGUGGCUAUGUGAAGAAGCUAGAGGGAGGUGGAAGUGGUCUUAUAAUAGUAUGUGAACAGAAUGUGAGAUUGAUUUUUACGCCUGUAAAAUGCUCAAAUGUACUUAUGCAUUGUUGAAUGUAUGGAAGGGGCUAGCUAAUGAGCUUUCUUUGAUUUAUAUUACAUCUGUAUGUAUUGCAUCUCAUAGUUUUCUGUAGCACUUGCAGUUUAUAAUAAGCAAAUUUAGUGAUACUGUAUUUUAUUCCAAUUACCUAGUGCAUGCUAAUUAUUUCCAUCAAAUCAUGUCUGUCCUCUUUAUGGCUUGUGAAAGAAAGGACUGCUCCUUAUUGCUUGGAUAUACUUAUAAUAUAUUAUUGUAGCCCAGUUGCUGAAGCUACUGUAUGUUGAAAUCCUAAUUAAUUGGCAUUAGAGUGCAAAUCCAUGUAUACAUGGGGGGGGGGGGGGGUGCAGAUUGUCCAAUAAUAUUUUACAAUAGCAAAUCCUGUCCAAUUUUUAUUAAUUAUAGCUACAACUUUUUCAGCUAUAGAUAGUGGGUUUUGCAAUAUAUUUCUGUGAAUUGUUCAUUUUUGUUGUUUUUAUUGUUUCUCUGCUCACAAUAUUAAAGGAAAGGAUAUAAAAAAGGAAAAAGUUAUCUACACAUGUAAAACAGGCUAUGGAUCUAUAUAUGUCUGUCUAUACUCUGUGGCAGUUCCUUGCUAUGCCAAUUGUUGUGUAACGUCUACAAAUUAUCAACUACAUUUGACUUCACCAUGCUUUUACUGAUGAAUAUUCUAAUUAAACAUGAAAAUCCUUAUUUAUUGAAACUCUCUACAAUGGGAUGAAGCCCUUUUCAGUAAUGUACUAUUGUGAUUUACAUUUUUAGAUUAUAUUUAAUCUUAAAUGGAAUGUGUAAUUAUCAGACUGAAACUUUAUAUCAUGAAGGAGAUGACAAAUUGGUACCAUGUUUUUUUUACUGACAUGCAUGCCCUUGUGCAAGGACCAAAGUAAAAAAAAAAAAAUCAUAAAGGGAAUCUAAACGAAAGUUAAAAUCUUUAGAUAUGUUCAUGGCAAAAAUAUAAACCAAAAAAAAAAGAAUAGAAAAAAAGAAAGAUAAACAUAUGAGUGAUGGAUCUGUGAGAACAGCAUAGAAAGAGGAAAAACAGCUGUCCUAUCAUUCAUGUAUCAUCUGAAGGUUGCCAAUAUUGGCUAGAAAUUGGCAAUAAAUGUUCCCAUCUUAAUCAUAUCUGUUUCGUUCAGACUUCUAAUUUAAUCCAAAUUACUCUUUAUUUUAUUCCUUUGUUUACACACACACAAACAUGCAGAGCAGUGUUUCUCAAUUUGCUUGCCAUAAGGGUUCACAAGGCCACCUCUUUUAUUUGUUGCUAUUUUGAGAUGAAUAUGAACCAUCUGUUAAUAAAAAAAAAAAAAAAAAAAUUCUUUAGCCUGCCACGUCACACAUCUUUACUAGGUCGGUUGCAGUCCUGUUAUAUCCAUUAUAUCUUUGUGUUCUUGGAUUGUAAAUGACCAGAAACACAAUACAGGGAACAUUGUUAAUGUUUUAAUAUCAUAUUGUAUUGUCCUAUGUCUAAUUAAUACUUCAAGUUGUAGCACUUCAAAUGUAUCGGCCUCUGUGUUUUUGUCAACGUUUGGAAUACAAUGAGAUCUGUGUCCACAUGUAUAAUAUAUGUUGUAAUCUAGGAAUUAAAAUAAAUCAAUAAUUUUUUAAGCA